rnacentral:rRNA from 1 species
AGUUCGGAUUGUAGUCUGCAACCCGACUACAUGAAGCUGGAAUCGCUAGUAAUCGCGGAUCAGAAUGCCGCGGUGAAUACGUUCCCGGGUCUUGUACACACCGCCCGUCACACCAUGGGAGUCGGGGGCGCCUGAAGUCCGGGACCGCGAGGACCGGCCUAGGGCGAAACUGGUAACUGGGGCUAAGUCGUAACAAGGUACC